rnacentral:rRNA from 1 species
UGGGGAAUAUUGCACAAUGGGCGCAAGCCUGAUGCAGCCAUGCCGCGUGUGUGAAGAAGGCCUUCGGUUGUAAAGCAACUUUCAGCGAGGAGGAAGGUGGUGAACUUAAUACGUUCAUCAAUUGACGUUACUCGCAGAAGAAGCACCGGCUAACUCCGUGCCAGCAGCCGCGGUAAUACGGAGGGUGCAAGCGUUAAUCGGAAUUACUGGGCGUAAAGCGCACGCAGGCGGUUUGUUAAGUCAGAUGUGAAAUCCCCGGGCUCAACCUGGGAACUGCAUUUGAAACUGGCAAGCUAGAGUCUCGUAGAGGGGGUAGAAUUCCAGGUGUAGCGGUGAAAUGCGUAGAGAUCUGGAGGAAUACCGGUGGCGAAGGCGGCCCCCUGGA